rnacentral:rRNA from 1 species
UACAGAGGUCUCAAGCGUUGUUCGGAAUUACUGGGCGUAAAGCGCACGUAGGCGGCUUGGUAAGUUAGAGGUGAAAGCCUGGAGCUCAACUCCAGAAUUGCCUUUAAGACUGCCGAGCUAGCAGGUGAGAGAGGUAAGUGGAAUUCCGAGUGUAGAGGUGAAAUUCGUAGAUAUUCGGAAGAACACCAGUGGCGAAGGCGGCUUACUGGCUCAUACUGGACGCUGAGGUGCGAAAGCGUGGGGAGCAAACAGG